GAAUCUGAGAAUAUUCCAUCAUUUUCAGUUUGUGAGAAACGAUUCCUCUGCCUCCUAUGACCUGCUGAUCAUGAACAUCACUGAUUCAGAUGAGGGUCUCUACUACUGUGGAACUGAAAAGCAAAAAGUGGAGAAAACAGAAUACAGUACUCACAGAUAUGAUUACGGAUAUGGCAACGUCACAACCAGGAUCAUAUUAGACUCCAGCAGGCCUCAUCACACGGAGACUCCACAAGACUGUAGUGUGUGCUGGAUGCUUCUGUUCUCUCUGUGUCCAGCUUUUGCUGUUCUCUCCUCUCUCCUCUCCUCACUCUUGGUUUAUCACAUCUGUCAGAAAAAAGCUAAAGAACGUCGAGUUGAUCAACAAAAACCUGAAACUAGAGGUCAAACAAGACUGAAUCAGGAUGAAGAUGUGUGUUAUGCCGCACUGGAUAUCCGUCAACCAUCACAAAGACCAAAGAAGAAGAAAACGAAAGAAGAAGACUUCAGCAUGUAUUCUGCCAUCAAGACUUCUAGGAUGUAGGGGGUCUAAAACAAACAAGUACAAAAAAUUGAAAUGCGUAAUGGUGAUUGAUAAUUAAUCCUAGAAUUCAUAUAGACCAUUCUGUCUCCAUUUAAAGCUAAUGAUAACAGUCAUUGUUAUUUACAACAUAUAUAUGAAAAAAUUUAAUGCAUAAUGUAAAUGUACAAUGUUUUCUGUGUGUUUUAAGGUGAAAAAAGCAAUGAUGUUUUUGGAAAAGUAGAUACUAAACUGUUGUGUCAAUCCUCCUCUGAGGAUACAUCUAAUUUAGCUCGUUCACACUACCUACCUGAGCAGCGUGUGGGUGAGGCAUCUACACCCACGUUAAGAGAUUAGAGCAGUCACACUGCGGGCGUUUCACACGUCUCGGCUGCGGCUGCAGCAACGCUUCACUAGAAAGUCGAGGUCUCACCUAUUUUUUCAUGUGCCAUGCGUGGUUCCCAGCAAAAGAAAGUGAAAAGGGUCUGUUCAUAGUCAUAUCGACAAUAUACCUGGAACAGAUAGCCUUCACCUUUCACUACUGUUUGUCUAUAUGUGUAGAAUAUGUCACAGACAUGGAAAAGAAUGUAGCCUAUUUUUUAAACUCAACACCUCCUGUGUCUGUGUGAGAUUAAAAGCUCUCUGGCAUUUUUGUUGACAGAAUCCAUUCAUAUGUUAACAAGGCUUGUAUUGUAUGGUAUUUAUGAAAGGAAAAUUCAGUAUUCAUAGAAAGAUUGGGCUGGCAGCAGCAGCUCCACAGCUGACACGCUGUUGAUGGAACACUGCAGACACAGCUAUGCAGCGGUGUAGCCAAUCGCACUCUGCUCAGGUUGGCGGUGUGAACCAGGUGUCUUUCCACCUAUGCAAGUGGAGGGGCAGGGUGGUACCAGAACAGAGCCAUGCCACCAGAGCACAUCUUCAAGUUCUUCCAUGUGCAUACAAGGAAAGCUUAAGGCAAGGACAGCAGCAGCAAAGGGUACAGAACUACAUAUUGUAUUCACUUGUUUUUCUGACAAAUUUUUUCCCCCUGUUUUUCGGAGUAAUUUUUUUUCUGAAUUACCGAGAUCCUUCGAACUCCCGCGAGAACCUCCAACCUGCAAGUGACUCCCUGACUACAAAGUCCUCAGGUGCCUGCUUAGAGUCGACAAACUAAUGAUAAUACCAUCUAUAUGACUUAAAGACAGGACUAUCUCCCAGUGUCUUAAACCCAGAUCAAAGUAAAACUUGAUUGAACUAAACAAGCCGGUCAUGUUUGUUUCUGUUAAAUCAAGCUCUCAAUAAAGGAAUGAAUGUGUCUAUUGUUUCAAAUGCUCUCUAAACUCAGAAAAACAGAAGAAAUAAUUAUUCAGAAAAUCUGAAAAAAUUACUCUGAAAAACCCCAAAAAUAAUUUUAAAGUGAAUGCAAUACGUUUCCAUACAGAACAGAGCAGGCACCAAUGAUAAAAUCAGACACAGUGUAAAAGAAAGAGCUGUGAUGAAGGCUGGUUGCAAAGUGUCUUGCAGAGGAAGCAGCAAGGGUAGGCAGGCUAAAGCAGCGUAAAUAAGGUGCCUUGAAUUACUUUUUCCAAUUGUAUGCUUGAAGGGAAUCAGCUGAUGUAGCAGGGAUUGUGAGCUGAGCUUGACUUUGUGGCCUGCCUGACAAACACUAUACACAGUUUGUUGUUGGAAAGGGUGACAAAGAGUUUUAUUCUGAGCAUCAGUUAAUUCCACACCCACUGUUUUUCAUUGUUUCAUCCAUUCUUCACAAAAUAGAUGUGUGUAUAUAUAUCUCAUGUAUCUUAUUUCUUUAUUUAUUUAUAUAAACAUUUAUGAGCUGUUGUUUUUUUUUAAAAUAAAAUAGCUCUGUCACUUUUCAUAAUGGUUGUGAUGGCUGCUUCUCUGUAACAAUCAUAAUAGCAGUUUCCUGUUUUCAUCUCACGUCAGCCAUCAGCCCCGACACCUUCACCAGUAGAGUUUGAUACAAGCCCCUCAUUCACCUGCAGAGCCUAACAUGCAAACAGACUGAAGCUACAGUGUACUGCACAGCUUCAUUGUUCUUUGGAAACAUUAUCACCUCAAUGCAAGUAAGUUGAUCAUCCUAAAAGCCCUCUCGAGCACUUUUGCCGAGAGAUGACAUAAGCCUGAGAUUAGAUGU
rnacentral:lncRNA from 1 species